GAUGAAGAACGUAGCGAAAUGCGAUAAGUAAUGUGAAUUGCAGAAUUCAGUGAAUCAUCGAAUCUUUGAACGCACAUUGCGCCCGCCAGUAUUCUGGCGGGCAUGCCUGUUCGAGCGUCAUUUCAACCAUCAAGCCCCCGGGCUUGUGUUGGGGACCUGCGGCUGCCGCAGGCCCUGAAAAGCAGUGGCGGGCUCGCCGUCACACCGAGCGUAGUAGAUUUUAUCUCGCUCAGGGCGUGCUGCGGGUUCCGGCCGUUAAACCACCUUCAUAACCCAAGGUUGACCUCCGAUCAGGUAGGAAGACCCGCUGAACUUAAGCAUAUAAUAAGCGGAGGA
rnacentral:misc_RNA from 1 species